CAGGCGGGCGGGUGGGAGACGCCGCUGGGAGGCGGGCGGAGCGGCUGCAGGCGAGCAAGCGGGCGGGCGGGCGGGCGCACCUGGGCCGCACCGCCCACCUGAGUCGGGAGCCUCGGCAGAGCCCGCCCCUGCCACCCUCCCCGCCCACGGGCACCGCCACCUUCAGUCUGAGCGGCUAGCCCGGCCUCCCCGCCCUCAUCCCUUCGCAGCCCCACCCUGCCCCAGCGCUCAGCCCGUCCCUGCCUCAUUGAGUGCGCCCACACUACUGGACGCAUCGGUUAGAAAACCUGCAGUGCUCAGCAUAAUCACUGGAAGUGUUUCGCCCGUUGUUCAUAGGCGAAGCAUCCUAUCAGCAGCGUUGGAUAGUAUAGGCUGAACAAAUAUAUAAAUUUUGUGGAUAAACAAAAAAAAGUUGUGAGACACACCUCCAUAGUCUCUGCAGUCAGGAGGCAAAGGAUUCUCAUAGAGACCAGCCCUGUCUACAUACCAAGUUUCAAGUCAGCUUGGGCUCUAUAGCCACUCAUUGUCUUAAAAUAAACAAAUAAACAAAUAAAUAAAUAAAUAAGCUAUGAAUAAA